AUGCUUGGGAAUCCUGGCCUAGAAUCCAGCAGAGGCUGCUGUCAACAAGCUAAAACAGUCAAUUUACGAUGGACCAACCUUCCAUUGAGUGGAUUCCCUGCUGGUUCAGAUGGCGAAGAAUCUGCCUGCAAUUCAGGAGACCUGGGUUUGAUCCCUGGGUCGGGAAGAUCUUCUGGAGGAGGGAAUGGCAACCCAUGCCAGUAUUCUUGGCUGGAGAAUUCCAUGGACAGAGAAGCCUGGCAGGCUGCAGUCCACGGGGUCACAAAGAGUCAGACGCGACUGAGCAACUAACACAACUUUGCACUGAACACAACUAGAAGAGCUGGAGUUUUCAAGAGCGAUCUGUUUGAAGUCAUCAGAGAAUUACCAUAGUGGGGCUUUCCUGGUGGUCCAGUGGUUAAGGCACCAUGUGUCUGAGAUCAUUUUCCUCAGAUUGGGAUAUGAACUCAUGUGCUGGGACUCGAACCCAGCCAAAACCCAUGGUCUUCCAACUAAGAUCACAGACCUGGUUUCAGGACCUAAUCAAACUCAGGUUCUUGAUAUUUCAUCACAGAAAGAAUUCAGUGAGAGACUACGUGAUAGGUAAGAAAUAGAUUUAUUCAGAGAGAAACACACUCCACAGAGUAUGUGGGUUGUUGCAGAGGGUGAGUAUGGCCUCAAAAUGUGGUGUGGUUAGCUUUUUUUAUGGGCUGGGUAAUUUCAUAGACUAAUGAGUGGGAGGAUUAUUCCAACCAUUUUGAGGAAGAGGGCAGAGAUUUCCAGGAAUGGGCCGCGGCUCACUUUUUGGUCUUUGAAUGGUUAGCCUUGGAACUGUCACAGUGCCUCCGGGUGUGUCAUUCAGCUUGCUGAUGUGUUACAAGGAGCAUAUACUAAGGAUCAAGGUCUAGUUGAAGUUGACUUGUCUGCCAUCAUGGACCCAUUUGAUUCUAAUCAGUUUCUGUUGUGUCCUAGGGCUAGGUCAUUCUAUCAGAGGUUGUGCUCUGCCCUCUUUCCUCCUGUUUAAGUUCUAAUGCAGGGGGCCAGGGUUAGAUCCCUGAUUGGGGAACUAAGAUUCCACAUGUCCUGAGGCACAGCCAAAAAAUAAAAAUUAAAAAUGAAGUCCAUUUUAAAAGAAGGAGAGAGAGAUACACAGCAGCAGAAAUUAGGGGCAGGGUCCUAGAGAGAAAGGAAAUGCAUCCGGGUGAGACAAAGGUUGGGGCUAUUUCUCCUCUCCAGGAAGUUGCUGAUUCACAGAAGUGGAGCUGAGAGGCUGAGGAUACAAUCAGAAAGUGAUUGCUAAUAGAUUGUAUCUCAGUAAAGCUGGGGGUGGGGGGUGGGGGGUGCGGUGGGAACCCCAAACAAAUGCUUCUAGGGCUCUGAGGAAAAAGGAAAGGGAAGACUAAGAGAGAAGCUGAGCAAAGUCUCACAUGGUUGAGAAAAUGAAAGCUGGAACUGGGGGUUCCCCAAGGAGAAGGGGCCUUGGGCUCACAGCUGUGAUCGCUGAAGGGCUGCACCAAGAUGUAACAAAGAACCAGAAACAGCUCUGUCAACAGCAAGAUUGAAUUCCAACUCAGAUCAGGGCAAUCCAAGUCUGGAUUAAGGCAAAUAGCCCUAUUUUAACUGUUUUCCAGAAGCAAAAGUAAAUCCACUCUGGAGGAAGAGAACACCCUUCAGAACCUCUAUACUUUUUCAUGCAAUUAUUCAAUGAUGUUUACCUUUAUAUAGAUCCCCUACCCAUGCCUUUCAGAUCCUCACUGAGAUGUGGAAAAGGCACAGACAGUCGAGAACCCUGGCCUCUAAAUCUGUUUCCUUAUUUGGAGAGUAAGACAGGUUUAUCCGGCUUUGAAAUUUUCUGUCUCUAUGUGUGGAACUGAACUCGGCCUCACCUUCACUGUGCUGCAUCCUCUUUGAGUCACCAAGAGGUGAUUCACCUCACUGGUGAGGGAGAGAUUCCUGCCCUAGGGCUAGGGAACGGCUGAACAAAGGACGCCCCAG
ensembl:lncRNA